UUUGUUGUUGUUUAUUUUUUUUUUUUUCCCCCAGCCCAAAUCCGCGGUCCGGACGUUUUCCCCCUUUCUCCUUGCGGCGCCGUUUCGGCGUUUUCCGUCGGUUGCGUCGCCGUCGGUUUCCUUCCGUCUCCGGUCGGGUUUUCUUGGAGCGACCGCGAGAAUCGGAGCGCGGCCGGCGCCGUCGUUUCGACGUUCCCGGCUCUGCCGUGGUCGAGGCCUUCCGGAACGUUCCUGGCGGUUUCCAGGAUCGGGAUGGGAUUGGAAGAAGGAAAAUCCCGGCAACCGUUUUGGUGCCGAGCCGAAAACGCCCGCGGAGGGCGAAGCGUGCAGGUGUUCAACCCAGGUUCCUUCCCUCGCCCUCCCAUCGCCACCGUCGUCACCGUUCACCCGCCGGCACGCGAGGAUUUCCAAGGCCCUUACCGGAACUCCACCCUCCUGUGCCGAAUCCGCGGCCCCCGGCGCGGCCCCGGCUCCGCCCCAAUCCGGUGGCUCCGCAACGGCGCCGCCGUCCUCGACGGCGUCACCGCCGAGCCCUCGGCGCCGGAAAGUUCCGGGGCCUUCGUCACCGGCAGCCGGCUGGUGGUGACCGAGGCCGAGUGGGAGCGCGGCGACGUCUUCACGUGCCAGGCGGACGAGGAGAUGAAGAACACCAGCAAGGCCAUGGAGUGCGGAUAUGACCAACCCUUGACCGCCGGCGACAUCCGCGUCGAAACGGUGGCUCCGCUCUUCGCCGACAUCUUCCGAGACCAAGCGGCUCGGCUGACGUGCCGCGUGUCCAACCUGGCGGCCGGCGCCGAAGGCCUGGAGAUCACCUGGCUCAAAGAGGACGGUGAAGUUUUGGCCACCAAGAUGUCGUCGCCGUCCCUGCAGCCCAACGGGCUCCUGGCGGCCGAGGGCGUGGCCACGGUGAGCACGGAAUCCUGGGAAUCCGGCCAGGUGUUCACGUGCCGCGUGGCGCACCCGGAGCUGCUCUUCCCCAGGGAGGUCACCAUGAGGAAGACGACGCAUGGCCGAAAUUUGGGAUCGGGAUCCAAGAUGGUGGAAGGCCGGAUUUAUUCAAAUUUCUUAAUUUUUUUUUUUAUUAUUAUUAUCAUUAAUAUUCUUAAAAUUUUUAAAAUUCUUUUUUCCCCUUCCCACCCUCCAGCCUCGGACUCCUCCCCCCCCUCCCUCUACCUGCUGGCCCCGCCCCCCGAACAACUCCGCCAACGCACCUGGGCCACCCUCACCUGCCUGAUCCGCGACUUCAACCCCCCCGACCUCCUCGUCCAAUGGCUGCUCGACGGGAGGCCCCUCCCCCGCGGCCGCGCCGUCACCUUCCGGCCCCGCCCCGACGACGGCCACGCCCCUUCCGGCCACGCCCGCCACGUGACCGUCAGCACCUUGACGGUUCCGGCGAGCGAUUGGGAAGCCGGGAACGUUUUCACCUGCCUGGUCGGGCACGAGAGGAUCCCGCUGAGGCUGGCGCAGAAAUCCUUGGAUAAAUCUUCCGGUAAACCGGCGGCCGUCAACGUCUCCUUGGUGCUCGGGGAUUCCCUGGGAGCCUGCUACUGACGUCACCGCCUCCGUGUGACGUCACCGCGUCCCGUUGGCGUCGCCGCGUCCCGUUGACGUCUUCGCAUCGCGUUGACGUCAUCGUAUUCCACUGACGUCAUCGUAUCCCGUUGGCGUCAUCGUGUCUCGUUGACGUCAUCGCGUCCCGUUGGCGUCGUCGCGUCCCGUUGACGUCAUCGCGUCGCGUUGACGUCAUCGUAUUCCACUGACGUCAUCGUAUUCCACUGACGUUAUCGUAUCCUGUUGACGUCAUCGCGUCCCGUUGACGUCAUCGCGUCCCGUUGACGUCAUCGCGUCCCGUUGACGUCAUCGCGUCCCGUGGGCGCCAUCGCGCCCCGUUGGCGUCAUCGUAUUCCAUUGACGUCAUCGCGUCCCGUUGACGUCAUCGCGUCCCUUUGACGUCAUCGCGUCCCGUUGACGUCACGGCGUCCGACCCCCCCUCGAUAAGAAAGAAAAACCCAAAAAAAAAAAGACCCAAAAAACAAAACAAAACAAAAAAAAAACCGAAAAAAACCCCGAUUUUUUUGCACUUUUUCACCCCGAAAAAAAAAAAUAAUUUUAAUAAAGCGUUUCUCUUUUGUAGCAAAAAAAAAAAAAAAACUAAAAAUCCACGGGUUUUAUUUUUUUACACCCAAAAUGCACAUUUACCCCCCCCUCCCCAAAAAACACUCAAUUUUUUCCCAAAAAAUCCCCAUUUUUUUCCCCAAAAAAUUCCCCAUUUUUCCCCCAAAAAUGUCCCAUUUUCUCCCAAAUUUUCCCAAUUUUUCCCCCCAAAAUUCUCCUUUUUUUCCCCAGAAAUUUCCCAUUCUUUCCCCACAAAAUUUCCCAAUCUUUCCCCCAAAAUUUCCCAUUUUUCCCCCAAAAUUUCCCAAUUUUUCUCCAAAUUUUCCCAGUUUUUUCCUCCCCAAAAUU